rnacentral:sRNA from 1 species
ACUUACCCAUCCAAAGAGAUUAACCUUGCUUUCCUCAAGGGAGUUGUCGAUGUUUGACCGACCAGCAACAGUCUCGAGCGCGACCACCCCGAAUGCAAAAACAUCAGCCUUUUCAGUCAAACGACCUCUCAUUGCAUACUCGGGUGCCAGAUAGCCACUUGAAAAUGACAGACAAGUUACAAUUAGCUUUUGUUUUGAAGUUACAGCCACAAGAACAGAGAUGAUAAAAAUGUUCUUACAAUGUGCCGGCAAUCGCUGUGCUGAUAUGAGUCUUCUUCUCAUCAUAUAGCUUGGCGAGUCCAAAGUCCGAUAUCUUUGGGGUGAGAUCAGUGUCGAGUAGUACAUUGCUGGCUUUGAUGUCCCUAUGCACAAUGCGCACACUCGACUCCUCGUGAAGAUAAGUUAGGCCUCUUGCAAUGCCUAAAAUUAUCUCAAAGCGUUUUGUCCAGUCUAGUUUUAAGCCUGUGUCUCCUGUACAAGCAUAAAUAACUCAAUAAGCCCUUGAGAA